GAACCGCCUAGACAGAGGAGAAAAAACUUAUACACAGAAGCUGCAGGCGUUGCUCAGAUAGACGGAAGAAGUCCCUGGCUCAUGAAGGGACACACACUCUCACCUUUCACCACAGUUAUCGAGAGCGCUCUCAGCAUCAUACACAUAGACUGAUAGACAUUGCAUCAGUUUUUUUUUUCUUCUUCGUGAAGUGCGUUUCAUUUCUAGCUUUGCCGCGCACCCCGACGCUAUGGAUCCGAAUAGACGUGCCCCGGCGAGUACUGUAACAGAUGAGCAGCCGCUUACUCUGCUGUGGGGGACGUGGGAGAUGUGGUGCGACAUGCCGCAGCGACAGCAAGGCCAGGGCACAGAAAAUACCAACUGGCUGGAGCAAGUGAAGAGUAUUGGCUUGUUCGACAGUGCCGAGGGCUUCUGGGGAAUUUUCAACUGCACCAUCCUGCCAUCGCAGCUUCCACCGAACGGCUCCUAUUACCUUUUCCGAAAACACAUUGCCCCAAUGUGGGAGCACGAGGCAAACCGCAGAGGCGGAAAGUGGGUGAUUCCCUUUACCGGCAAGUCGUCGCGGAGUGAGGGCGAUUUGCAGCCGGUCGAUGAGGCCUGGCAGACACUGUGCCUCUCUGCGAUUGGGGAGCUCUUUCCCGGUGACGAGGAGGAGGUCUGCGGCGUCACUGUGAGUCGCGGGAGGCAGCGCACCUUGCCCUCUGGCCAUGCGACGUCUGUGCUAAGUGAGUGGAAGCUUUGCCUGUGGACUCGCAGUGCCGACAACAGGGGAUCUCAAAUGCGCAUUGCAGAGUACAUUCGCAAGCAACUGCACUUACAGUCCCUGUCGAAGGAAACCAGCAGGGAUGGAAAAAGCGGCGAAAAUGACACACUGAUGGAGAUGCCGCGGUCUCCAGACCGUUCUCCAGUUGCCAAGACGCGAGAGGCGUCUAGUAUUCCGUCAGCAAUGACCUAUGUGGCGCACCGGGACUUGAUGGAGGCAAAGCAGGAGUUUGUAAAGGGCGGCAGCAGCGUUGCUCAAGCGUUCAGGCCCAAGUACACUCUUGCAAUCGAUGUGAGGGGUGAAGCUGUGUGAUACUACACCUCGACCCGUCAACCUCAGUGUGUGUCGCUUGUCAGGUAUUCCUUUAUCUGCGAGUUUUGUGUCUUUUUGAGCCCCUAGCGUCACGCGUACAAGCGCACUGCAACUUGCUAGAUGAUUGGUACACGUCCUCGCCUCAUUUGGCCAAUCGAGUAGGAAGAGGCUUGCCGCCCUUUCUCAUUUGAUCACCAUAUCUUUAGACAUCAGAGUAUUCGGUUGCUACCUUGUGUUCCGGAGCACUCAAAUACGAAAACCUUCAGAGAAGGCAGAAAAGUGCCCUCACACGCGUGUUCCCUCUACUCUCUCGCCCGGGAGCGUGGGUUCACUUGCGAAUGUGUUACAACCGCGCCGCCCUCCAUGAUCAUAAUACUCAUUGGCAAAGAAUGUGCCCUCAUUUGUAUCACGCCAUCGGCUCUUUCCUACGCUCGGUGGCAUUUUCUCCGUAACAUAGUG
rnacentral:misc_RNA from 1 species